rnacentral:rRNA from 1 species
CAGCCUUGCUGAAUUAUUUCACCCUUUGUCUUUUGCGUACUUCUUGUUUCCUUGGUGGGUUCGCCCACCACUAGGACAAACAUAAACCUUUUGUAAUUGCAAUCAGCGUCAGUAACAAAUUAAUAAUUACAACUUUCAACAACGGAUCUCUUGGUUCUGGCAUCGAUGAAGAACGCAGCGAAAUGCGAUAAGUAGUGUGAAUUGCAGAAUUCAGUGAAUCAUCGAAUCUUUGAACGCACAUUGCGCCCUUUGGUAUUCCAAAGGGCAUGCCUGUUCGAGCGUCAUUUGUACCCUCAAGCUUUGCUUGGUGUUGGGCGUCUUGUCUCUAGCUUUGCUGGAGACUCGCCUUAAAGUAAUUGGCAGCCGGCCUACUGGUUUCGGAGCGCAGCACAAGUCGCACUCUCUAUCAGCAAAGGUCUAGCAUCCAUUAAGCCUUUUUUUCAACUUUUGACCUCGGAUCAGGUAGGGAUACCCGCUGAAC